GGUUUCUUUGUGUAGCUUUGGAGCCUAUCCUGACACUCGCUCUGGAGACCAGGCUGGCCUCGAACUCACAAAGAUCCACCUGCCUCUGCCUCCCGAGUGCUGGGAUUAAAGGCAUGCGCCACCACUGCCC
rnacentral:miRNA from 1 species